GAGUCAUGGAACUUGAGGUCACGAAGCAACAAGAAUAAGUCACAACCUACUGGAAAAAGUCUCACCUUGCUUCAAUCAGGCACCUCACAGGCGAUCUGAUUUUCAUGACCGUGAUUCUGGCCAAGCCUUUUGAACCUGUC